rnacentral:rRNA from 1 species
UACGAAGGGGGCUAGCGUUGUUCGGAAUCACUGGGCGUAAAGCGCACGUAGGCGGAUUUUUAAGUCAGGGGUGAAAUCCCGAGGCUCAACCUCGGAACUGCCUUUGAUACUGGAGAUCUUGAGUCCGGAAGAGGUAAGUGGAACUGCGAGUGUAGAGGUGAAAUUCGUAGAUAUUCGCAAGAACACCAGUGGCGAAGGCGGCUUACUGGUCCGGAUCUGACGCUGAGGCGCGAAAGCGUGGGGAGCAAACAGG